rfam:Pteropus vampyrus cont1.58419, whole genome shotgun sequence.
AAAAAGCAUACAAAUAUAGGAACUUUGUAGAGUCUGAAGAGAAAACAGAAAGCAGAACACCACCAAUAGUUUAUAACACAAAAUUAGAAACCAAUCACAAAAAGCCAGUUAAAACUUUCAAUAAUUUAGGGGUUAAAGAAG